rnacentral:lncRNA from 1 species
CCAAAAAAAAUUAAACAAUAGUAUCAACCCACUCAUAGAUAGGUAUAGAGUCCAUCUGUUCCAGAACUCACCGCCCUCCUCUCUCAAUUACGAAUGUCGUCGCUCCAGUCACUCGUAUUUCCACUCUCUUCGUCACUCCAAACCCUAACCCUAUAAAAUUUUACCCACUAGAUUCUCUUUUUACAUCCGAAACGACUGAUCGGACAAUUCAGCAAUGGCCCAGUACAGGCAAUCGGGAUUCGACAGGGUUUUGGGUCGGAAUGGCGGCUCCGAUCACGUUUCCAUCGGGAUUCGCGCAUCUAAUCCACCACACAAGCAAUCGCGAAUUGUCCAUCAUCGGUGGUUCAAGGGCCGGAAAAUCUCCAUUGGCGCUCUAGUUCUUAUUCUCUCUGUUGCUUUUGUCGUCUCUGUCUCAGUUUUUCUAUAUCUCUCCGGAGAUAAAGGUUAGUGAUUUUCUCAAUUUGGGGAUUUUUUUAUAACUUAGAUUGAUUUGCUUGUUUGUUUGGUGGCUGUAAAGUGUUUGAUUUAGUAUUGGGGAUUUUAGUUUAUAAAUCUGGAUGUCAUAAAAUCUAAUUAUGAUCACUUUGAUAUUAUAUUAUUACCCAAUUGAAUGUUAUGAACUUACUAACUUAGUAAGUUCAUUAAUCUUCCUUUGAUAUUAUACUAUUACCCAAUUGAUAUUCUACUGCUGCUGGAGAUGUGCCUUGGUAUGCUGCUACGGAUGUGCUUGGCCUUGGUAUACUGCUAUGCUCUAAUUGCACUCGGCCUAAUCCUAGUUUAAGCUUUAAGCCCAUGACUUAAUGUAGUAGUACUUUGUUCUGAAUUAAAAUUUAUUUACCGGAUCUCUAUUUAAAGGUUAUUCUUCUAUUCAGUUUAUUUGAAAAUUGCAAGAUUUAGGUUUUAAAAAGUAGGGGAAUUUUUGUAAAUUUAAUUUUGGUUACGUGUUUAAUAAAAAAAUCGUCGUUCGAUUUGGAUGCAAUUAUAAUAUACUACAGGUUGAAUGGAGAAGCAGAAGAAGUCUGAAUGAUUCGAUUGAAUAUAUAUACAUACAUACAUACUUACUUACCAUGCAUACGCAUACCCACCAAUUAAUCACAAGUAUUGUUUCUCCGUGGCAUAUAUCUAUUGGGCCUGUGCCCUACUAUUGUUUAUCUUCAACAUCUGAUUGAUUUUAAUUGGAAGGUAUACAAUACUUUCCAUUAUAGAGUCUCUUUCCCCUAAUAUAAUAUUGGUGUUUUGUUUGAACCAAAAUUAGUUAAUUCGUAUUAUUAUUUAUUAUUUUUAUUUAUCUUUAGAAAUUAGUAUUGACCUUUAUUAGGGUUCCUUAAUUUGGAAUUCAUCGGGUCUGCAUUUGUGAGUGAUUCAAGGUAAGACGGAUUAGGGUUGGAGUUUAUCCAGAAAACAUGUUUGUUCAAAUAUCCACUAAUUUGGGUAUUCUGAUUAUUUUUCUAUUUGAAAUUUUGAAACACCACAGUUGGAUUGUAUUGGAAUCAGGCUCAGUGAACAAUCAAGGUCCAUAAUUGGUGGCCGUUUUCGCGGGAUUUUGGGAUUGUUUCCUAUUUGGGGAAUUAAGAUUGCAAUCACUCGGUCCGUAUCUUUUCCUUUCCUUUCUUAUUAAUGAUUCUCUUUAGGGAAUUGAAUAUGACGGUGGCCAAAUGAAAUUUUCACAAUGAGUGAGGCAAGAGGAUUGUCUGUCCAUGGAUGCUGCGGACAUGUCAUUCUCUGAUCUUGUAGGUAUAUUGAAAUCUUUGAUCCCUUGGCGGUCCGAGUCUGCUAAUGUGUCGAGGGACUUUUGGAUGCCCGAUCAUAGAUGCAGGGUAUGCUAUGACUGUGACUCCCAAUUCACGCUGUUCAACCGAAGGCACCACUGUCGACUCUGUGGCCAGGUUUUUUGUGGCGGGUGUACUACAAAUUGGGUUCCUACAUCAUCUUGUUAGCCGAGAACUACCCGGGAAGGGUGGGAUAAGAUUAGGGUCUGUAAUUACUGCUUCAAGCAAUGGGAGCAAGGCUUAGCUGCUACUUCUAAUAAUGUGAUCCUGGUCACCAACCUGGAUAUCAUCUCUUCACCAUCAGCGACCAGUUUCAUUAGUACUAAAUCUAGUUGCACUGCUGACAGUAGCAGCACUACUCUUGCGUCCAUUCAACAGUCGAUUGGCACUUACCAACAAAAUCCUUAUCCUUCUGGAAUCAGCCCACGCCAAUCAGCAGAAAUGGAAACAACUUCUGAAAGGGAAGGUGUAGAAGCAUCAAGGAGGAGCAGUGAUCAUGGUACAAACGUGAUGGAACCGUCUCUCAAGCCAUUUGCAUAUUGCAUGAACAUGUUUUGUUCCAUUUUUGUCUCAUAAGUUACUUCAUGCUUCAAUUUUUUUGCGUUUAAAACCUUGUAAUGAGUAGUUUGGUAUUGAGACUUCCGCCCAUAGGCAUUUAACAGUUACAUAUCACAUAUGACAUCUUUCUGUUCUCUAUACUGUUUGGUACUUGAUCAUAUUGGGCCACAAUGCAUCGGCUGUAGUUGAUUCGUGGAACUCAUCUUUCUGUUCUCUAUACUAUUUGGUACUUGAUCAUAUUGGGCCACAAUGCAUGGGCUGUAGUUGAUUCGUAGAACUCAUGAUGAAGUGAUGACGAGUUGUUAUAGUUGUUCAUCAAUACAUCAGUAGAGUGUUUUUAGAUGGCUGAAUGAGUAGCAGUCUAAUCCUGAUGCUUUAUGCCUACUCAAGGGCUCAAUAGGGUCCUGUACAGGCUUAGGCUUGUGCUUGUUUUUGUUGGUGGUUGGUUUUAUUAAUACUGCCAUUACUUGCCUGAAUUAUUUGGUUGUGGGCCAGAGGAUUGGCAUUUUUGAUGGCAGUGUCCUCCCUCAUGAAUGCUGUUGCAUCUUCUUAAACUACCAAUUGCUUUAAAAAUUCCAUGAUUCCAAUAUUCUCCAACUUUUUCUGAAAUCCUCACUAGACACGCCACUAAAAUCUUUAUAGCAGUACUGUCAAAAUUGUAGAGCGAAAACUCAAAAUUCUAGUCUAUAAAGUUUAAAAAGUUAAUGUUAAAAAACAAUCAUCAAUUUUUAAUUUUUAAUUUAUUUUUUGUAUGUCCAAGUGUGGCAUGCAAAACUUAAUAUUCUUAAAAUCAAAUGUUUGUGAUUAUAGCUAGCAUCUUUGGGGCAUAUACUAUAUGUAAAUUUGUCGUCUCAAGAAAAGUUUUUCCACAUUGACUAAUAGCCUUAACUUUUUCAUAAUUGUUGUCCUUUUUAUAUAGAAAUCUAAACAUUGUUAUUUAAGAUUGUAUGAUGGUAUUUAAGAUUGUGUGAUGCUUGUGGUUGUUGAAUGUGACUGAAUUCUGACUUGAGGUCAACAUAUAAUAAUAAUAUACAAGUCUUGUAACAGAAAAUAUGUUUAUUACUAUGCUUAUUGAAAUUAAUUCAUGAAAUGGCCGAUUAAGAUUCCAAUUUUUUCUUGUAACAGAGCAAUCAUAUAGUCGCACUGAAGGUUCUUUUUCUAUUUGAAAUUGUAACAAAUGAUAUUGUGAUUGCCUAUUUGUCUUUUUCUGCUUAUGAGCAAUACGAUGUACAUUAGUACCACAUAGCAACUUUAUUAUCUUUGUGUAUUGAUUUUGGCAUUAAGUGCCUCUGGUGACCUAUUUGCUUCAUUUUUCUGACUUGUUAUUAUUUUUAAAUAUGUGCAGGAAGACUACUUCUACGACCUGCCUUACAAUACUGGGUAUCAAAUUUCCGUGCUACGUUUACGGAAGACAAGGAACGAAAUUAUGAAGUGUACUCUCUCUAUAUAUGUAGAUAUAUACUUUGAUUGAAGAACUGCGGUAGCUUUAGAUGGUUAAUUGUAAAGAUAAUGAAUGAUAAUGUAGUGGAUGAUUUUAUUAAGUUAAUAAUAUUUUAGUUUUUUGUAUUUUUGCUAUUAUUU